rnacentral:rRNA from 1 species
AUUGAACGCUGGCGGCAGGCCUAACACAUGCAAGUCGAACGGUAACAGGAAGAAGCUUGCUUCUUUGCUGACGAGUGGCGGACGGGUGAGUAAUGUCUGGGAAACUGCCUGAUGGAGGGGGAUAACUACUGGAAACGGUAGCUAAUACCGCAUAACGUCGCAAGACCAAAGAGGGGGACCUUCGGGCCUCUUGCCAUCGGAUGUGCCCAGAUGGGAUUAGCUAGUAGGUGGGGUAACGGCUCACCUAGGCGACGAUCCCUAGCUGGUCUGAGAGGAUGACCAGCCACACUGGAACUGAGACACGGUCCAGACUCCUACGGGAGGCAGCAGUGGGGAAUAUUGCACAAAGGGCGCAAGCCUGAUGCAGCCAUGCCGCGUGGAUGAAGAAGGCCUUCGGGUUGUAAAGUACUUUCAGCGGGGAGGAAGGGAGGAAAGUUAAUACCUUUGCGCAUUGACGUUACCCGCAGAAGAAGCACCGGCUAACUCCGUG